rnacentral:rRNA from 1 species
GAAACCAAAAGGAAUUCCAUUCGUAGUGGCGAACGAGAAUGGAUGAGUCCAUCGCUGAAUCUUGUAAGAAGUUUGUAUAGUGUCACUGAUCGUGAGUUUUUGAUUUUUAAUUGAAAAUGAAUGAUUUUUGGUGCUUUCAAGCACAUUUAAUUCUUAUAAGAAAUGUAGCGUUCGGGAGAAUUCGAAUAGAUUCUUGGUUGUGCGUGGAAUUUUUUUCUCGUCGCAAUCGGAUUUUAGUUGUUGCCAAUCGAUGUUUUUUAUUUGAAAACAAGAAAUCCAAGUCCUAUUGAAUUAGGCUAAUUUUCUCUAAUUGAAACUCGUAGAGGGUGUCAAGCCCGUAGUGGUUUCGGAAACGUCGAUUGGUUUGAAUUACUCUCUAGAGUCGGAUUGCUUGAGAGUGCAAUCUUAAGUUGGUGGUAAACUCCAUCAAAGACUAAAUAUGGCCACAAGACCGAUAGCAAACAAGUACCAUGAGGGAAAGUUGAAAAGCACUCUGAAGAGAGAGUCAAAAGUACGUGAAACCGUUUAGGAGUAAACCUGUAUGAAUCGUGUGAUUUUUUAUUGUAAUCGAAUCGAGAUUCAGUGAGUGACAUUUUGCUUUAGUGAAUGAAAUAAUUUAUUAUUUUAUUUGGUUUAAUGAAAUUUCGCUUAUGCAUUUCUUGAUUCGAUGUGAAUUCGCGACUCGUUUGCAACAAAACGAAUCAUCGAUGACUGAUUUUUGCUGCCGACUUGUGUGUAAAAGCACGUUUGUGUCGCAUUUUGAGUGUUACAGUUUGUUUUUCUUUGAGAAAUGAUUGUAAAUUAACCGCUUAUUAUGCGAAUAGUUGGUUCAGUUCCGGUUUCGGUUCGAUUUUGUUUGGUAGACGAUUAAGUAUUAGUUACUGAUUCUCUGUAGAAGAAUCAAAAAUUAUUUUUUUGAGCGAAGCGCAAAGGCUCGUUUUUUUGAUUAAAAAUGAAAGUGUGUGUUGCUUUAAGAUGAAUCGUGGUGCGUUUUAAUGUUCACGCGACUGUAUAAGGAAUGAUACAUUUUCAUUUUGUGACAAAAUUGCCGAUGGAAACGAUCUCAUACAGGACCCGACCCGUCUUGAACCACGGAGUCUAACAAGUGUGCGAGUUAUUGGUCUAAAACAAUGUGACUUGAGUUUUGUUGCUCUAUUUUAAGUUUUUUGUUUUAAUUCAAAAAAGAGAAUAGCGGCGGCGGCGGCUUCUCAAGUACAUUAAACUAAAUAAAAACUAAAAGCAAAAUGAAAGUGAAAAGAAAGAACAGAAGCAUUGUGUAAUAACGUGUUUUUGGUUUUUCUAAAAUGAUGAGAUCGAUUUGCUGCUGCUUUGAAAAAAGCGACGAAAAAGAGAUCGCAAUCAUUGAAUAUUCAGGACACGUGUUUUUUGUUGGCGACUGAUGACGGAGAUGGCGCAAGUUGUUUUCGUUGUUGUUGUCAGCUGUUCACGAGGUCGGAAUAUAUCGAGAGCAUACUUGUUGGGACCCGAAAGAUGGUGAACUAUGCCUGGCCAGGAUGAAGUCAGGAGAAAUUCUGAUGGAGGUCCGAAGCGAUUCUGACGUGCAAAUCGAUCGUCAGAGCUGGGUAUAGGGGCGAAAGACUAAUCGAACCAUCUAGUAGCUGGUUCCUUCCGAAGUUUCCCUCAGGAUAGCUGGCAUUGAGCUUAAGUCGUCGAGUCGAUUAAUUUUUUAUCGUUUCGAAGAAGAAUUAAUCGAGUCUCAUUCGGUAAAGCGAAUGAUUAGAGGAAUUGGGAACGAAACGUUCUCAACCUAUUCUCAAACUUUAAAUGAGUGAGAAAAUUUAACUUUCUUAGUGAAUACAGCCGCAAUGUUUGUCUUCGGCAAGUAUUGUGUGUGUGUGUGUGUGAAGUUAAAUAGUUAAGAUCGAAAAUGCCAAGUGGGC